CCUGGCCUGCUUGCCGCUUUGCCCGGCUCCGGCUCGGAGGCCUCGCUGUGGAGAAACGGGCCGCCCCCUCCUGUUCGCCAGACCCCCUUCUUGCCUGCACAGCCCUUUGCUCGAUUGGUGAUUAUGUCUGCGCUUGCUUUCUGCCUGUCUCUCCCUCUUGACCUCAGAUCAACGACUAGUAUUAGGUCCUGAAAAAAACUUGGUGAGUGGUGACCAGCAUUUUAUAAAAAUGAAACAAUGAGAGAGGGCAUCUCACAGUGAGUGCUCUUGCUCUGUGAAGCAUUUAUUUCACCUACACGUAUUUAAGUGGGUACUUGAUCAAGAUGCAAAGUGUAUUUCUUACAAUAAGUGCCAGACGAAAAAUGAAAGCCGCUGCAGAGAACACCUUACGGCAACCUGCACAUAGGCCCUGACUCCCCAUUUUACAGAGGAAACUGAGACCCAGCACAGGACAGCUGCCCCGCCUGCCCUUUGUGAAUCCCCCCAUUCCACCAGCACCUGGCAACAGUAAGAGAACAGUAUUGGGUUGGAGAAAAGGGAGCACAGAAGGAGCAGACGAGAAGAUGGAAAAGUCUUCUAAAUAUAUCUGCCGAGAUUUACCAGUGCAUCUCUGCUCCUGGAGAAUCGCGUUGGUGAGGAGAGGGCGGACAGCGCGGCCCCAGGGUUAGCCCAGCUCCAGUCAGAGAGGUCUCCAGGCAUCGGGGCAUCCUGCUCUUGGACAGGAGACAGACUCUCCCUCAGCACAACGCAGUCUUCCCCAGGGUGCACCUGUGUGGCGUUGGUGCCACCCCAGGUCUCCUGACCACCUCAGCGACCAUCUGGCCUUGUGGUCCCCCUGUACAGCAGAGUUCUUCCCCGCCCCCCACCACCACUUCCCAGGUCCAGAACACGACUUGCCUAAGGUCACAGGUUUUGUGCCUCGGAACUCUCGCCACAAUCUUCUGUGUGUGCUGGAUGUGGGGACGCGCUCCUCACCAACUGGAGCCGAUUCUACCUUGGAAGGGGGAGCUGGGUCCUGAGCUCCAGGAUCAGGGCAGGGGGCAGUUCCCGGAGACCUCUGAGAGCCCACUGGGCCCCCGGGUGUACAGCUGGGUGGUUCCCUGAGGACAUCAGUCACUGCAAAUGCCCGGGCAGGGCAGAGGCUAAAAAUAUACGUGGUGCACAGGUCCAGGAAGGCUGGCCCUGCCACUCAUUCCUUGGUGUCCUGCCCAAAGUGGAGGGCACUUGUGAAAGGUCUGAGAGGGGGAGCAGUUUUGUGGAGCCUCAACUUGGCCCGGGAGUCCAUUGGUGUGGUCUGUUCUCCGUGCGAGGGCACACCCCUCCCUGAACAGCAGCUCCACCCUAAACAGCUGUCCACAGUGCCCACCCGCUCGGUCAUCACCAAGCCUUAGACUCCUGAGCCUGGGGAUGUAGAGAAGCUGAAAAACCCUGGGCAGGUUGGACUCCCUGCCUCAGUUUCUCCUUUUGCCAGAUUGAGAAGACAGCUGUCCUGCCCAUCUCACUGCUGGAUGUGAGGACCCCAGAAGAUAAUGCCUGUGAUGGGCUUUUGAGAGGCGCUAGGGGCUCGUGCAUGGGAGACGGUGGUCCCUGCAGAGGACCACAGAAGCAGCUGGCCGGCUUUCCACUGUACCCAUGAGCCACGUACCAAGCCCUGUGUGUUCAGAGGACAGCGUCCCUUAUUAAGGACAGGUGUGAAGAUAAGGACCCAGGACCCGGCCUGGGGUUCCAUCGCAGCCCGUGUCCUGUAGCAGGUGAGGGGCACGUGGCCACAGAAGGCCACUUUGUGACUGAUGUGAACCUGAGAAAGAAUGAUGGGCCCAGCCACUGAUUUCACAGGUAUCAUUGCUUAGUAGGAGCAAAACAAAACAGCAGACGCUCACUGGAGCGUUUUCACAGCAGAGCUGGAGACCCCCACGACCCGUGACCUCUAGCAGGAGACUGGGUCAGCCUGGGCACCACACGUGAGCAGACCGUGGCCGCACAGACAGGGCCACGAGGGAAAGACACACAGAGAACAAAUGCCCUGUACAGAGUCACAGGCCCCCGCAACGUACACAGGCUGUUAGAGCAACGUGUGAGGGGAGCCUGGUCUUCGUCUGAUGCUGUCUGGGGACAGGGUGUCCACGUCUCAGCAGGGCUGUUCCUUCAUUUGGAGAUGAAAGGCACUUCCCUGCUCAGAGGAGCGCCUUGGCACCAGGCGUCCACGUGCUCUGUCAGCAGUCACCCAAGGGGCCGACUUCCGUACUCAGAUGAGCAGGGCAGAUAGAGGUUUCUUUUACCACAGGCCUCGGGAGAGGACUGGCGGCCUGCUCCUGGGAAAGCUGUGCUGGGGCUACUGCACAAGCAGCCAGCCUUUUAUCCCAGUCAGUCAUGUAGCACAGGGGUCCCCGACCCCCGGGCCGUGGACCAGUACCGGUCCGCGCCUGUCAGGAACCAGGCCGCACAGCGGGAGGUGAGCGGCGGGCGAGUGAGUGAGGCUUCAUCUGCCGCCCCCCAUCACUCCCCAUCGCUCGCAUUACCGCCUGAGCCAUCCCCCCAUCCCCUGCCGUCCGUGGAAAAAUUGUCUUCCAUGAAACCGGUCCCUGGUGCCAAAAAGGUUGGGGACCGCUGAUGUAGCACAGGAGACGCAGGCCUUCAGCCUGGAGUCCCCAGACCUUACAGCUCCAGGUCUUCAGGCCUGUGGUCACCAUCCCUGCCCUGAUACAAGCAGACCUCAGAGAUGUUGUGGGUUCCGUUCCAGACCACCGCAAUAAAGCGGAUAUCACAAUAAA